rnacentral:lncRNA from 1 species
AAAAAUUAAACUCUUUCAUAUAUAAAUAAAUAAAUCUCAUCCAUUUUCCCUUCUACACAUCUUCAUCCCGCUUAUUCCCUCUCCGAUUCGGUGAUUUCCUCCGUUAGUUUUCGCUUCAGGUACUUUCUCUCUCACACACAAAACACACACUGAGAAUUUUAGUACGUUUAAACUGAUUGAUACUGUUUGAUCCUUAAUUCCUUUAGUUUUGUUUAUUUUUACACAAUAUUGGACUUAGAUCUACGGUUUCUGAUCUGAUCUACAUUUUAGUUCGUGAUCACUCUCGCAUCUAGGUUGAGAUCCGAAUAACUACGACUAUAAUUUUGGCUAGGGUUGAAAUCUAUCCGAAUUUACGUUGUUUAGAUCUAAUAUUUUUUCAAAUUUGUAUCAUUGUAUGUGUAACUGUAGUUAAUUGAAUUGCACUGUUCUUUGAUAAUAGUUUGGGGAUCUUUUUUCUUGUAUUUUGCAAUAUUCAACUGUUUUAAUUUUUGUAGGUGUCUAAUUUUUAAGCUGGUCGGAUGCUUUUGAAUUAGUAGCUGUUGGGUUUAAUUGGAUCAAGAUGGUAAUUUGAUUGUUCCUUUAGUAUUUGAUGAAUUCAAGUGGCAAUCUGUUACAAGUAGUUUUGCGAUCUUUAUUUUAUUUUGAAGAUAAAUGUUUUAUUGACCGUAAUUUUAUUUUGUAUAGGUUGUUCUUGCAGCUUCCAUUAUAAGUAAAUCUGGGAAAGGUUAGUUACCUACAUUUUAUUUUAUAUUUUUUCUUGACAAAUAUAACUUAUAUCUUAUAUUUUUUCUACAUCUAGUUUUUUCAUGUGAAAAUGAUUCGCAUGUAUUGAUCUAUUGUAAUUUACAAGUGAGAAAACAAUGAAAAUUAAAAGAAGAACUCUUCUAUGGGUUCAUGGAUUUUAUGGGUGGCCUUUGUGUUGAUCUGCUAGAUGUAACUGUAGUAACACAACAUUUUUAGUGAUUGCUGAAUGACAUUUUAAGAAUUACCUCCAGGUGUAUUAUCGCUCAUCAUGUGACCACUUAAGGUUAUGAUGAACUAGCUUCCGCUUUUGGGAAAGAAGGCACCUUACAGGAAAAAACGAUGUGGAAAAUAGGGCAAGGAUUCUCUACUUAGAAAUGCCAGUCAUAUAACACUAUCCGUGCAAUUUUCCUUCUGGCCGGAUUAUUUUGUUGUGUAGUUCUAGUACAUGUUCAUGGAUUAUAAAUAAUAUAAUAGCAAUCAAUACGAAUUCAUGUGUAAUUGCAGGAAGAUUUGAUGGUGAGCAUGUUGGAGAAGUGCAAUCAUUCUCUCCCUGUAGUUAAGAGACGAAAUUAUGAAGUGUACUCUCUCUCUAUUUGUAGAUAUAUACUUUGAUUGAAGAACUGUGGUAACUUUAGAUGGUUAAUUGUAAAGAUAAUGAAUGAUUAUGUAGUGGAUGAUUUUAUUAAGUU